CCAGUCCCUGAUGAUGAACUGGUCUCCUUUUUACUGGCCGGACUUGGCAAUGACUAUGAUUCAGUUGUUGCCGCCCUUGAUGUAGCAAAGAAGUCCCUGAACAUUGCUGAAUUGUUCUCGCAUAUACAGAACUAUGAAC